CCCCUCUCAGGGUCACAUCUGGAGAGUUUCCAGUACUCUACCAGUCUUGACUACAGGAGGAAAAGUCAAGCAGAGGCACACCCAUUUCAUUCCUAGCUUGGGCAAUGGCUAGAGAGUGGAUGGCAAUCUGCUACAAGU
rfam:Ornithorhynchus anatinus chromosome 3, whole genome shotgun sequence.